GUUAAGGAUUGGGGCAGCAGCCCCAAGCAGGGCACCUUGCCCCUCCAGAUUGAGUGCUUUCGAGAUGGCGGUGAGGGGAUAUGCAGAUAACCCACUAGAUAAUGUUAUUACACCGACGCUGGGAACGAGUUUUGACUCUUUAAGGGAGGCUUAUGAUUUCUACAACUUAUAAGGCAUCACAAGCAAUCUAUUGAGCACAUCGACCCUAAAAAUCUGGACGGACGCGAAGGUAUGACAGGGUUCAGACUUGCAAUCCAUGCCAGUAAUAUGAAAAAGAGAUAGGUCCAGAUUAGCAGUAGACAACAAUGUACAUUGCAAAAUUGGCAGGAAAUCAAGUUAUGUGUUCUGUAUCACUGAAUGUAAGUAUGUCUGACAGAUUAGUUGUCCAGCAUAAAAAAAUAGCUAACUUGGGUGUUGGCAACGGAUUAUGGAGGCAGUUUGCUCUUAAUUAGGAAAAAUGAAAAGUAGUAGAAUGACUUCUUCAGUGCAGGUAGCCUGUUGUAACAGGAAACACAUUUUGUCAAAAGACAUUACUGAUUCCAGUGGGUACUCUGGGCAUUGGAGACAAAAUUUAGCAUGAUGUAGAUGUCUUGUGAUAAACCGCAAGGCCUUUUAAACAUAGUAUUUGUUAGCGCAGAGUAUGAUUUCGGUUAACCGGAUUUUUUAAGUAUCAUGUAGAUGGAAUGGGAAUAAUCAGUUAGCCAUUCGAUAAUGAGUUGGCUAAUUAGUUGACUGCUAUGAACUAUGUAUGUGUUUUGAUAUGAAUUGACAAAAUUUGAAGUGCACUCUUAA